CAUUUGCCCCGAAGCGCGUUAGUGAUGGGAGCGGCAUCCUUUUGCGGAAAGCAAGCAGCUCGCUCGAUUAGCCUAAAAAUACUCCCGCAAAAGAUAUAGCGGAUAGCACGGCCCGGA
rnacentral:sRNA from 1 species